AGUGGUGAUGAGAAUUAGACAGUGAUUCGAUGUAAUCCUCAGAAGAUAUGAAAUCUGGUGCUCAGGGAAUGACUGGAGCCAAUCCGCAAUCGUAAGCGCUUGAUCGAUCCUCUUCCAGAUCUGAGCCAUCCCCUGUUUGUUAUUGCACCAGAUGAAUCAGGAACCAGAGUAGCCAAGAUCCAUCGGACCCACAUUACUGAUAAACUCUCUGAACUCUUUGGACUCAAUGCUUUCCCCUGGCAGCCUGCUGCCUCUCUUCUAAUGGGACCCCAUAAUGCAAUUGAAGUCUUUGAUGAUGAGAGAAGAUAAACCCUAUGACACCA
rnacentral:lncRNA from 1 species